AUUACAAACAAAAAGGUAUUGACGUUUUAAUUUUAAAACUUGCUUUUUCAAUAAACGGUGAACGAUGUGCAUUUAAAAUCUAAACAAAAAUAUUUUUUCCCAUACCUGUUAUUUUGUUUUAUUUUUUGAAACAAAAAAAACUGUAAUUAAUCAACUGUCUGAUAAAUAAACGAAGAAAAGCCAUCGGGGACUCAAAAAUAUAAGUUAUCAAUUACAUUUGCAUUGUACGUUUAACAGCAUUCUAUGAUUGAAUUUUAUAAAAGGUAUGCUAAGACAAUAGAAUAUUGCAACAAUGUU